GGAAUUUUCUGCAAUGGGGAUUCCAAGAUGAUUCACUGAUCUAGAUUCGGCAUAUAUACAUCGGAACUCUCUGUCAAAAUCAUCAACAAUUUUUCCUUUGAAGUGCAUCACUAAACAGAGGAGGGAUACUUGAAAGUAAAUGUACUGACAGGAUGAGGUGACACUCUGCCAGGCAGUGUUGGUUCAUGAUCUGGGGAUUCUCCUGGAACGGGGCAGUUGGACAAGGAGAGCUUUCAAACAAAUAUGUCUAGUGUGCCAUUCUGAGAUCUGGAAGAGGAGAAAGGCUCCAGAUCCUAUCCGUGAAGCAGUGCUUUAGGAAGCAUGGCUGCUUUGUCAUACUCUCUCCAAGAGAUACACACAGCCCCAAAUCUGUUGGUUUUCCAAAGGCUAUGAAGAUUUCUCAUCAGGUACUGGGGCCCAGUUGUUAAUAAAACUCUGGCAUGCAGAUACGUGACAUGCCGGCAAUGAGCUUUUUAUAGGGACCUUAACUUGAUUUUUUAAAAAUUGAUUUGGACUAUGUACUAUGCUUUUACUUUUGUUGACUGCCCAGGAGCCCAUUCAUUAAAUGAAUAGCCCUGUAAAUGAUUACCAGGGUUGCUUCUCCUUGGAGGUAUUUGCCUAUUUUACCAGAUGAGAUAGGGUGGGCAUGUCCCAGAUCCCAUUCCUUAAAUGUCAUCUGGUAGGACCUUGGAGACACAUAUUCUCCAUGGCUACCCCAGUCCUUUUGAAAUGCCUCCCCCAUGAAAUUUGGAGGGCCCCCAUUCUCUUAGCCUGGGAUGCUAUGGCACUUUUGCAGGGUUUGGGUGUGUGUGUGUUUUUUUUUUUUUUUUUGUUAUGGAAUGUUGCUAUGAGCCAUCUAGGAUUAUCAUCUAUAAGAUAGUCAGCCAUAUAAUUUUAAAAAUAUAUGUAUGGAUAUUAAAUAAACAAACAUAUACAAUAAGUUGAUUUGAGUCAACCAAGAUGUAUUUUUAUGUGAAAGUUUGGGUCGCUGUGUCUUUUUAUGUAUUUACUUGGAGAUCCUGAGACACUUAACCUAGUGUGUUGCACAGGCUUGUUUUGAAGAUAGGAAGUUGCGUACAGGUAGUCCUCACAACAACCAUUUCUUCAGUGACUGCUUGAAUUUGUGAUGAUCCUGAAUGAACAGUAUUUAUAACUCCUUAAUGCCAUUGCCGCACUCCUGCAGUCACAUGAUCGGGAGUCUUGGAGUCUUGGCAGCCCACCUUUAUUUAUCACAGGGUACUUUUCAACUCUAGCCACACAUCUGUCACUCCUCACCAUCUCUGCUUUUUGACUGUCCUGCACUCCAUUGCCUCUGCCACCCCAGCAGAUUUUCACUUCUUCCUCCUACUGCUGACGAAGCAUGCCCAGCCUGACUCUUUGUGAGGCAGCAGCUGGUCACAGACGGCCUUCUUGAGGCCUCCAGGAAGGUCACAUAUGGCUUCAGGAAGCCAGCAGCUGUCUCACAAAGGGCCAGACCAGGCGCACCUCAUCAGUACUGGGAGGAACAGGAUAGCCAAGGUCAGCUGAAGGUAGCAAGAACAAUGGAGUGCACGGUGUUAUGGGUGAAGGCAGGGUGCAGGGCAGCCAAAAGAACAGAGAGGGAAGAAGAUAGGCAGAUAGGGUGGAGUUGAAGGGAAGGUGAGCAUAACAGGGCAGGAGAAGCUUGAUGUCCUGGCCUAACAAAGACAAUCAGGAGUACUGAUUAUGCAGUGCAGUCAUGUGAUAUUUUACCUAGUAAUUGUUUACUUAGCGAUAAACAUUCCAGUCCCAAUUGGGGCCAUUAAGCAAGGACUAUCUAUAUGCUGCUCUCAGUUCCUUGGAGCUAGUACAAAUAAACAUGUAAUAUAAUAAUUAGGGGGAUCAAAAUUCCCUGGAAUUUAUUUCACUUUAAGGAUAUAUAUGACUAGAAAAUUAUGAAAAUUCAGAAUCUCUGAAAAUUAUUAGACUAUGUGGCUGGGGUAGAGUUAGAAUGUGUUUUUAAAAUUGGAUUCCUAAACUGUUAAAGGAGACACAUUUUUAAAAAAUUGUUUAAAAGAACUGAACUUGUUUUGUAUACGUUUUGAUAUCAUUUUUUGUACAUUUAGAAAUAGCAUAUUCACCAUUUGCAAAUUUCAUUUCCUUCCAACUGAAAUGGAAGACACACAGUUUUGAGAAGCACUAGAACAGCCUUAGACACCUGACCCAUAAGAAGGAUACAAAGCACUAUAAUUUUAAAUAAAUGUAAUUUAAAUAAUCUAAA